rnacentral:rRNA from 1 species
AACGAGCGCUGGCGGCGCGUCUUAAGCAUGCAAGUCGAACGGCAAGAGAGGAGCUUGCUUCUCUCCUAGAGUGGCGGACUGGUGAGGAACACGUGGGUAAUCUACCCUUAAGAUGGGGAUAGCUGCUAGAAAUAGCAGGUAAUACCGAAUACACUCGGCAUAUCACAAGAGGUGUUGAGGAAAGGAAGCUACGGCUUCGCUUGAGGAUGAGCUUGCGUCCCAUUAGCUAGUUGGUGAGGUAAAGGCCCACCAAGGCGACGAUGGGUAUCCGGCCUGAGAGGGUGAACGGACACAUUGGGACUGAGAUACGGCCCAAACUCCUACGGGAGGCAGCAGCUAAGAAUAUUCCGCAAUGGACGGAAGUCUGACGGAGCGACGCCGCGUGGAUGAAGAAGGCUGAAAAGUUGUAAAAUCCUUUUGUUGAUGAAGAAUAAGGGUGAGAGGGAAUGCUCAUCUGAUGACGGUAAUCGACGAAUAAGCCCCGGCUAAGUACGUG